rnacentral:rRNA from 1 species
UACGUAGGGUGCAAGCGUUGUCCGGAAUUAUUGGGCGUAAAGAGCUCGUAGGCGGUCUGUUACGUCGGCUGUGAAAACCUGGGGCUCAACUCCGGGCCUGCAGCCGAUACGGGCAGACUAGUAUUCGGUAGGGGAGACUGGAAUUCCUGGUGUAGCGGUGAAAUGCGCAGAUAUCAGGAGGAACACCGGUGGCGAAGGCGGGUCUCUGGGCCGAUAUUGACGCUGAGGAGCGAAAGCGUGGGGAGCGAACAGG